rnacentral:rRNA from 1 species
AUGCACCUACGGGGCGCAGCAGUGGGGGAUAUUGCACAAUGGGGGGAACCCUGAUGCAGCGACGCCGCGUGGGUGAAGAAGCGCCUCGGCGCGUAAAGCCCUGUCAGCAGGGAAGAAAAUGACGGUACCUGAAGAAGAAGCCCCGGCUAACUACGUGCCAGCAGCCGCGGUAAUACGUAGGGGGCAAGCGUUAUCCGGAUUUACUGGGUUUAAAGGGUGCGUAGGCGGAUUUUUAAGUCAGCGGUAAAAUGUCCGGGCUCAACCCGGGCCGGCCGUUGAAACUGGGGAUCUUGAGUGGGCGAGAA